AUUUAUAGCACUAAAUCCCACAUCAAAAAGUUAGGAAGAACUCAAAUUAAUAACCUAACAUCACAACUGAAAGAACUAGAGAAGCAAGACAAAACCCCAAAGCUAGAGGAAGACAAGAAAUAACUGAAAAUCCAAGCUGAACUGAAAGAAACUGAGACAUGAAAAAAAAAUUCAACAGAUCUACGAAUUCAGGGUGAUGGCAUCAGCUGAGAAGGGAAGGAAGCCCAUGUGAGGACACUGAAGAAGGAGUGAGCAGACAAUAAGAAGCCCACAGAAGACAGAGAAGGAAAAACUAGAGGGAGAAGCCAAGGCAGGCGUGUGUGUUUCUCCACAGACACUACCCAAAGCAGUCCUUCACUACAGUGGCAGACAGACCUGAAAAUUUUCAUCUGAAGCAGCAGAGUGAACUGCAGAGUCAGGUCACCAACCAGUGUGGAGGCUAACAGCAGGCCUCUUUGGGGAUUCCAGGUGGAAGUGUUGGACAUCUGUAGUAUUCCUGGUCUCGAAUCAUCCUGAUAUUCUUCAUUUUGUUAUUCACAUUGGACUAGG
rnacentral:lncRNA from 1 species